GAUGAAGAACGUAGCGAAAUGCGAUACGUAAUGUGAAUUGCAGAUUUCAGUGAAUCAUCGAAUCUUUGAACGCACAUUGCGCCCGCUAGUAUUCUGGCGGGCAUGCCUGUUCGAGCGUCAUUUCAACCAUCAAGCCCUAGGCUUGCGUUGGAGCCCUGCGGCUGCCGCAGGCUCCCAAAUCCAGAGGCGGGCUCGUCGUCGUACCGAGUGCAGUAAACAUCCUCGCUCAGGGAACGUGACGGGUUCUUGCCGUGAAACCCCCCACAUAUCAAGGUUGACCUCGGAUCAGGUAGGAAUACCCGCUGAACUUAAGCAUAUCAAUAAGCGGAGGA
rnacentral:misc_RNA from 1 species